rnacentral:rRNA from 1 species
AGAACGAACGCUGGCGGCAUGCCUAAUACAUGCAAGUCGAACGAAGGCUUCGGCCUUAGUGGCGCACGGGUGCGUAACGCGUGGGAAUCUGCCCCUUGGUUCGGAAUAACAGUUGGAAACGACUGCUAAUACCGGAUGAUGACGAAAGUCCAAAGAUUUAUCGCCAAGGGAUGAGCCCGCGUAGGAUUAGCUAGUUGGUGAGGUAAAGGCUCACCAAGGCGACGAUCCUUAGCUGGUCUGAGAGGAUGAUCAGCCACACUGGGACUGAGACACGGCCCAGACUCCUACGGGAGGCGGCAGUAGGGAAUAUUGGACAAUGGGCGAAAGCCUGAUCCAGCAAUGCCGCGUGAGUGACGAAGGCCUUAGGUUGUAAAGCUCUUUUACCCGAGAUGAUAAUGACAGUAUCGGAGAAUAAGCCCCGGCUAACUCCGUGCCAGCAGCCGC